UUUUGUAUAAUGGGUCAGCGACUUAUAUUCUGUAGCAAGGUUAACCGAAUAGGGGAGCCGAAGGGAAACCGAGUCUUAACUGGGCGUUAAGUUGCAGGGUAUAGACCCGAAACCCGGUGAUCUAGCCAUGGGCAGGUUGAAGGUUGGGUAACACUAACUGGAGGACCGAACCGACUAAUGUUGAAAAAUUAGCGGAUGACUUGUGGCUGGGGGUGAAAGGCCAAUCAAACCGGGAGAUAGCUGGUUCUCCCCGAAAGCUAUUUAGGUAGCGCCUCGUGAAUUCAUCUCCGGGGGUAGAGCACUGUUUCGGCAAGGGGGUCAUCCCGACUUACCAACCCGAUGCAAACUGCGAAUACCGGAGAAUGUUAUCACGGGAGACACACGGCGGGUGCUAACGUCCGUCGUGAAGAGGGAAACAACCCAGACCGCCAGCUAAGGUCCCAAAGUCAUGGUUAAGUGGGAAACGAUGUGGGAAGGCCCAGACAGCCAGGAUGUUGGCUUAGAAGCAGCCAUCAUUUAAAGAAAGCGUAAUAGCUCACUGGUCGAGUCGGCCUGCGCGGAAGAUGUAACGGGGCUAAACCAUGCACCGAAGCUGCGGCAGCGACACUAUGUGUUGUUGGGUAGGGGAGCGUUCUGUAAGCCUGUGAAGGUGUGCUGUGAGGCAUGCUGGAGGUAUCAGAAGUGCGAAUGCUGACAUAAGUAACGAUAAAGCGGGUGAAAAGCCCGCUCGCCGGAAGACCAAGGGUUCCUGUCCAACGUUAAUCGGGGCAGGGUGAGUCGACCCCUAAGGCGAGGCCGAAAGGCGUAGUCGAUGGGAAACAGGUUAAUAUUCCUGUACUUGGUGUUACUGCGAAGGGGGGACGGAGAAGGCUAUGUUGGCCGGGCGACGGUUGUCCCGGUUUAAGCGUGUAGGCUGGUUUUCCAGGCAAAUCCGGAAAAUCAAGGCUGAGGCGUGAUGACGAGGCACUACGGUGCUGAAGCAACAAAUGCCCUGCUUCCAGGAAAAGCCUCUAAGCAUCAGGUAACAUU
rnacentral:rRNA from 1 species